CCCCCGCUGGCGGGAGGGCUGGGUGCAGGGCCGGGUGUGCGCUGGGUGUAAGCACCCGAGUCUUCGGGCCCGAGGGGCAGGAUCUGGAGCUGGAAUAAGGCGAGCGCAAGUGAGAGAUUCACAGAGGAAGAGGUUGAGAGCUGCUGCCAGUACAAGGAGUUGGCCUUCGUGGAAUCAGAAGAAGGGAGAUUAUUAGAAAAGUUCUGACCCCUGUACUGUCUGAAAUAUUCCACAUUAAUUCCUGCAGACACCCAGCUUUUAUUGACAAGGAGGAUUUGUCAAUCUGUAUGCAUGGAAACAUUGUACUUUGAUUUUCAACUUUAUUAAAAACCAUAUUUGUAAGUAAGAAUUUCAAA